UUGUUGUUUUGUUGUUGUCGUUUUUUUCUUUCUUUUCAAGAAGCCAAGUUCAUGGCUUCUCCCAAGACCUUCAAGGACCCAAUUGACGUCUGAGUCAGCUGUAAAGGAGGAAGAAACCGAUUGUCUAAGAAUGGACAGCGAUAUUGCAUCCAUUGGUCUCCUACUUCAUUUGAUUCCCACAUCAUCACAAGGCUGCAAAGGACCUGGAAAAAUGUCAUCCUGUCAAGCUGAAAAACAUCUUCAAAAAGGCACAAACAAGAACAGCUUGAUUGCUGAGAAGAGACCACACAGCCGUACAUGCUCGUUGACGGGACAACGAGGAACAUCAUUCAUGGAUGCUACAACUCAGA